CCCUGUAAUUACACAGACAUUUUUAUGAGCGUAUAUGAAAUUGAUUUGCAGUCAAAUGGAAUUCAGUCUCCAUACCUGUAAAAGAGAUCUACUACGUGGGCUUCUAUGCUUGCAUCUCUGAAUUAACCUACAAUGUUUCUGAAUCUGUGCUAAACGUACUUUGAAGAUUGUCUCUUGAUCAGAGAGAACAUUAUUGAAGGUGUGGUUGCUGUUGUUCUCUCAAAUGUCACUUCCCACCAGUCCCUGAGAGACACAGGUUAGGAUCAUGAGAAGGUGGAGGGGAGAAGUUUCUGAUAAUAUAGCUCGAAACUAAAAGAGACAGGUCCUAUUUCCUGAAGACAUCUCAGCACUGG